GUUUAUAGUUUGAUUCAGUGGCUCUUAGCACCCCCACUGUAAGUAUUUGUACAAAUUGUUCCAGCACUCCUGCCAAUGGCCGGCCCUGCAUUGAGCUUAGCCAUCUGGGGUUGGUUCAUCAGGUCCUCUACAAGGCUGCCAGCAUGGAGCUGAAGACAGUUGGAGGUGGCAAAUCCAUCACUGCCCUUGGUGGUUUGUUCCACAAGGAUUAAUGUGCCUAGUUUCUAAUUUGCAUUUGCCGGGCUUUAACUCCCAGCCAUUGGUUCUGGUUAUGCCUUUCUCCAUUAAAUUCAAGGCUACUUUAGACUAAAGUCUUCAGAACACUGCAUUUUCUCCCUGUGAAGGUACUUUAUAUACAGAGCUGGUCAGAGAAACUGUGAGGGAACCAUAUUCUAUCAAAAAUCUAAACACAUAACAAAAUCAGAUCAAUUUUGCCAAAAUUUCAUUGUGGAAGAGAACCAGGAAAGAAGCUCCAAUAACGUUAAAGUGGCCUGUUUUGACACCUUUGGAAUAAAAAGCUUUCAGGACAGCUAGGUGAGCAGCUGUGGCAGGCACAGGCUGGAGCUGGAGCAGUCUGUCAGGACUACCAGGUAGCUCGGAGUAUCCCUAACAAGCUAAUAAUGUUGACCAGACUGGAGUAGCUGCUUUAAUUAGGAGUCUAUAUACCUGCCUUGGGAUCACCUGCUUAGACCCUCGCUUGUGGAUUGGUUGGACACUUAGGACUAGCAGGGUUAGAGCAUAUUCCAGAAUAUGUGGAAGAGUUGCUGACACUGGAGAGAUUUGUUGGGACAUGCACCAAAUCUGGAACCUGGACCAUUUCUGCAGUAGGACCUUCAGCAGAAGAAGAAACGGAGGGAAGGCAUAAAGAAGGCCCUUGUCCCAUGGAACGAGGAGAGCAUUGCCCAGAUAGUGCUGUCUGAUCCACACCCUGGGACAGUAUCAUGGACACUUUUUGUUCUGAUUUCCAGAGACCUGAGGGUGGCCUUGAAAUUCUUCAAGAAAGCACCUUCUCAACAAAGAGCUUUACACCUUCAAAGGGAAGGUCCUCCACUAUGGUCUGCAUGUCCUUUGGGAAUCCCAAGCCAUGAAGCCUGUCUCAUCACCACAGCCAUGGAGAUGGUCCUGGCAGUCCUGUCGGCAGUGUUGAGGGCCAACUGCACUGAUGUUUUUGCCACCAGUUGCCCCUUCUGGAUGAUGGCCUUGAAGGAGUCCCAGGAGCUCUCUGGCAGUUUAUCAAUAAAGUCAUUUACCUUAUUAUAAUUUGUGUAGUUAUAUUUAGCCAUCAGCACCUCGUAGUUGGCAAUA